rnacentral:rRNA from 1 species
UGGCUCAGAACGAACGCUGGCGGCAUGCCUAACACAUGCAAGUCGAACGAAGGCUUCGGCCUUAGUGGCGCACGGGUGCGUAACGCGUGGGAACCUGCCCCUCGGUUCGGAAUAACAGUUAGAAAUGAUUGCUAAUACCGGAUGAUGACUUCGGUCCAAAGAUUUAUCGCCGAGGGAUGGGCCCGCGUAGGAUUAGCUAGUUGGUGGGGUAAAGGCCUACCAAGGCGACGAUCCUUAGCUGGUCUGAGAGGAUGAUCAGCCACACUGGGACUGAGACACGGCCCAGACUCCUACGGGAGGCAGCAGUGGGGAAUAUUGGACAAUGGGCGAAAGCCUGAUCCAGCAAUGCCGUGUGAGUGAUGAAGGCCUUAGGGUUGUAAAGCUCUUUUACCAGGGAUGAUAAUGACAGUACCUGGAGAAUAAGCUCCGGCUAACUCCGUG